GGGGGUACAGCUCAGUGGUAGAGCAUAUGCUUAGCAUGCAUGAGGUCCUGGGUUCAAUCCCCAGUACCUCCA
rnacentral:tRNA from 1 species